UACGGAGGGUGCAAGCGUUAUCCGGAUUCACUGGGUUUAAAGGGUGCGUAGGUGGGUUCGUAAGUCAGUGGUGAAAUCUCCGAGCUUAACUUGGAAACUGCCAUUGAUACUAUGAGUCUUGAAUAUUGUGGAGGUCAGCGGAAUAUGUCAUGUAGCGGUGAAAUGCUUAGAUAUGACAUAGAACACCAAUUGCGAAGGCAGCUGGCUACGCAUAUAUUGACACUGAGGCACGAAAGCGUGGGGAGCAAACAGG
rnacentral:rRNA from 1 species